UCUAAAGCGCCGGUUCUCGUACGAUCCCCGAAGUUAAGCAACAUCAAGCCUGCUCAGUACCUAGAUGGGUGACCGCUUGGGAAUUACCAGGUGUUGUAAG